rnacentral:rRNA from 1 species
UAGUCUGGUGCCAGCAGCCGCGGUAAUUCCAGCUCCAAUAGCGUAUAUUAAAGUUGUUGCGGUUAAAACGCUCGUAGUCGGAUUUCGGGGCAGGUUUGCCGGUCUGCCGAUGGGUAUGCACUGGUAGAACUGUCCUUCCUUCCGGAGACGGCGCCUACUCUUAACUGAGCGGGUGUCGGAGACGGAUCGUUUACUUUGAAAAAAUCAGAGUGUUUCAAGCAGGCAGCUCGCUUUUGCAUGGAUUAGCAUGGGAUAAUGAAAUAGGACUUUGGUGCUAUUUUGUUGGUUUCGAACACCGAAGUAAUGAUUAACAGGGACAGUCAGGGGCACUCGUAUUCCGCCGAGAGAGGUGAAAUUCUUAGACCAGCGGAAGACGAACCACUGCGAAAGCAUUUGCCAGGGAUGUUUUCACUGAUCAAGAACGAAAGUUAGGGGAUCGAAGACGAUCAGAUACCGUCGUAGUCUUAACCAUAAACCAUGCCGACUAGGGAUUGGAGGAUGUUCCUAUGUGACUCCUUCAGCACCUUUCGGGAAACUAAAGUCUUUGGGUUCCGGGGGGAGUAUGGUCGCAAGGCUGAAACUUAAAGGAAUUGACGGAAGGGCACCACCAGGAGUGGAGCCUGCGGCUUAAUUUGACUCAACACGGGGAAACUUACCAGGUCCAGACAUUGUGAGGAUUGACAGAUUGAGAGCUCUUUCUUGAUUCGAUGGGUGGUGGUGCAUGGCCGUUCUU